CUCCAACUGCCACAAGACUCGGCCAUAUUCAGCAGCCACCGCAACGGCCAGGCUCAACUUGAUCUUCCAACCCAUCACGCUCCAGCGAACAUCGCGUCGUGCCGCAUCUCACGGCUUGGCCGUAUCUCACAGCAACAUUGACAUCUCGUCGUGCUCGCCGCGUCGCACGGCAGCCUGACAUCUCAUCUUCUCCGCGUGCCUCCGCUGAAGCUUCACCGCACUAGCUACUCUCUAACCUAUCCUACAUGCACAACGAAAGCAAACUAAAUAUGCAGAUACAUGGAAUCAAGAUUAAGUCUAACAUUCACCCCCUAAUCUUGAUUCUCCUAUCAUCAACGCACAUCCCGUGCACCUUGCCGUGGACGACGCCGUCGCAGCGCCGGACACCCCCAUGCACCAUCUUGUCGUGGUCGACGCCAUCGCAGCGCCGGACACCACCAUGCACCAUCUUGUCGUGGUCGACGCCGUCGCAGCGCCGGACACCACCAUGCACCAUCUUGUCGUGGUCGACACCUUCGCAGCGCCGGACACCAUCAUGCACCAUCUUAUCGUGGUCGACGCCGUCGCAGCGCCCAUCACCACAUCGUCCUGCUGCACGCAGCGGCCACCUCAUGACGUGGACGACGCCUUCACAACGCCGAUCACCACGCCGUCGCAACGACCCAUCUUGCUGACGGCAUCACACCACCCUAGACAGCAUCGUCGACGAGCUUGACGCCGAUCCUUAUGACGGCUUCGCGCCGCCGUACCUCCCAACGGCGUCACACCGUUGUCUUCUUGUGGCAGCUUCACGCCGCCAUCUCCAACUAGCGGCAUCACACCGCAACCGGCCAUCAGCGGCAUCGCACCGCCGACGACCUCCACCUCACGCCCAUGUCCUCCACCUCACAUGGAGUCUGCCAAGUCGCCGCCGCCGCGGCCAGUCGCCCCCGCCACCGCCACGCCGGCCACCAUAGCCGCCAGCACCACCGUCGCCGCCACGGAUCAACAAGGCUCUGAUGCCAAAUGUUGUGCCGCUUCUUCUUCUACCCCUCGUUGUCUCUCACAACUCUCUCCUCUCUCAAGCGAACAAGAUCGCACACUUGGAAGGAACACACACACACCUCACCGUGGAGGAACCAGCUUUGCUUUGUUCUCCCGGUCAGACACACAUAUGCUACAUCCUUUCUCCUCAGCCCUCUCGGCCUCACUCCUUUCACUACUCCGAUGCAAGAUAUAUAUACACAUAGCCAGGGGCUAAUGGCCUGAUGCAAAUCCCAUGCACACGCACGCACACAUAGCCCGGCCGGCAUACUCGCCACUAACCGCACCACCUCCUUGCAUGCAGUAAGCCACUAACUAACUAACCCAUAUCUACAUGCACGUCCUAACUGGGCUUAUCUUACUCCUUGCUGGAAUCACUCCAACUGCCACAAGACUCGGCCAUAUUCAGCAGCGACCGCGACGGCCAGGCUCAACUUGAUCUUGCAACCCAUCACGCUCCAGCGACCAUCGCGGCGUGCCGCAUCUCACGGCUUGGCCGUAUCUCACAGCAACAUCAACAUCUCGUCGUGCUCGCCGCGUCGCACGGCAACCUGACAUCUCAUCUUCUCCGCAUGCCUCGGCUGAAGCUUCACCGGACUAGCUACUCUCUAACCUAUCCUACAUGCACAACGAAAGCAAACUAAAU
rnacentral:lncRNA from 1 species